rnacentral:lncRNA from 1 species
CAUGUUAAAAUGCUAUGGUGAACAGCACCAUUAAGGUUGUUGAAAGGAAGUCAGAGUUCAAGUAUUUGUGCAUGAGGCACUUUAUGUGGUGAUGACUUCUGAAUUUAUAGUUUUUGGGACAAGAGUAGAGAUGCUGAUUUAGCUCAAGAAUGGGUCUGUUCGUAUCCCUGUCUGGUUGAUCAUGAAGUCCAAAUCAUUUUUCUUUUUUCAUGGUGAAAUUUUUGCUAAGCUGCCACCAUUGUACAAGGAAGGUCCAGAGCUAUGCCUGCAAGGUUAUUUAAAAGUCCAGAUGAUGCAGUGCAAUGGGGUCAUGCUGAACACUCCUUAUGUGUUGGUCCUCAAGGAAGUGCAAUAUUAGGAUGGAGGCAGAGAUGAAUCAAUCUUCAUCCAUGUUCCAACAAGCCCCCCAGAUGAUUCCAAAGAGAACCACCACCAGCGGGAACCACUGUGUGAAGCAGUCUCCCCAUUUUAUAGCAUUAUCUUUCCAGGCCCUAUUUGCACUUGCCUUGGAUCUGCAGCCUUUCCAAAAGUUGGGAAAAUCUUGCAAAGAAGAAAUACGGCAUCUGAUUCUGAGAAUUUCACUCCCUCUACACUCUUCCAGCUGCUGCACAUACAUGUGCUGCUUGAGUUUAUUUAAUAAGAAAGCUCAAAAUGUUUCCCAGUUCAGAACAUAACCCCACAUGCUCUUCUCUGUAGCCUAACCAGGAAUCCCAUUCUCCUCCUCCUCUAACUCAAUAAACCAAAUCUAAUUGGAAAAU